rnacentral:rRNA from 1 species
UACGUAGGGUCCGAGCGUUGUCCGGAAUUACUGGGCGUAAAGAGCUCGUAGGCGGCCUGUCGCGUCGACCGUGAAAACCCGCAGCUCAACUGCGGGCUUGCGGUCGAUACGGGCAGGCUGGAGUUCGGUAGGGGAGACUGGAAUUCCUGGUGUAGCGGUGAAAUGCGCAGAUAUCAGGAGGAACACCGGUGGCGAAGGCGGGUCUCUGGGCCGAUACUGACGCUGAGGAGCGAAAGCGUGGGGAGCGAACAGG